UACGUAUGGAGCAAGCGUUAUCCGGAUUUACUGGGUGUAAAGGGAGCGUAGACGGAAUUGCAAGUCUGAUGUGAAAGGCGGGGGCUCAACCCCCGGACUGCAUUGGAAACUGUAAAUCUUGAGUGCCGGAGAGGUAAGCGGAAUUCCUGGUGUAGCGGUGAAAUGCGUAGAUAUCAGGAGGAACACCAGUGGCGAAGGCGGCUUACUGGACGGUAACUGACGUUGAGGCUCGAAAGCGUGGGGAGCAA
rnacentral:rRNA from 1 species